rnacentral:tRNA from 1 species
GUGACGGUGGCCUAGCGGCGAAGGCGCCUGUCCGUGAAACAGGAGAUCGCGGGUUCAAAUCCCGCCCGCCACCCCG